CUGAAAAGGCAAUGCUACAUGAUUUUUAAUAGUGACAACGUAUUAUUCCCUUUCUCUAACCAACUCCAGUCAUACAGGGAAAGGUAUUUUAGCCUCAGGAAAUUAGCCAUACUGUGGAACUUUUUGCACUGAAGUCUGAAAGAUGCUGAAAAGCUCCCCGCAGGGACAUUCUCCUGCUUAUCAUCCUUCAGUGGCUCAUCACCAUCUAUAGAGAAAAGUCUGCACUUAGACCAAUAGAUGCUGUGACAUGUCAUCUUCAGCACAACCAUGGAGCAGCAGAGGCUGGAAUCAACUGGCAGCAUCUUCAUUUUCACCUGGUACCUGGGCUUGAACACAGCAAUAGCUGGAGUCUGGUCAGGCAUCUCUUCCUCUUUGCAUGGAGAACAUUGGCAACCCCACAGCACAGCGUAUUAGGGAACACUGUGUGUACCUAGAUUGAAGUCUGUAGAAUGGUACUCCUGAUGACUUCAGUGAAAGCUGUGAGGCUCUUCUGAUUUCCAAAGUCCCAGAAUCCUUCUUUCCUCACACUUUCUCUCAUCCUCUAUCCAUCUUCUAUUUCCCCUCCUCUUCGCCAAGCAGCUGGCUAAUGUCAGAUUCAACCUUCAACAGGAGAAGUUGGACAGAAGUUGUGUCCAUUUUAAUCUAAUUUUGUAUAUAGCUUAAUGUGUUAUUUAAAUUAUGUUUAUUUAAUCCCUUAUAUUUAAGCAGUUUUAAAUCUUUGGAGAAUAAAAUGCACUCGUUGUUCAGAGAAAUUAGAAAAAUAUUUUAUAAAUGGUGGUUAUUUCUUAUCCUUACAUUAUGCAAUAUACAAUGUGAAUGAUUUCUAACAUUACUGAUGAGUGUUAUUACUAUUAUUUUGUUAUUAAUGCCUCCUAUUGUUAUUAUUACUAUUAUUAUUACUUCAGAUAGAUUUCAUCUGCCUAGGCAAUGGACAUCAUUCAUUAAAUUUUUAUUGGAAACAUA